rnacentral:rRNA from 1 species
CAGCAGCCACGGUAAUACGUAGGGUGCAAGCGUUAAUCGGAAUUACUGGGCGUAAAGCGUGCGCAGGCGGUUUUGUAAGACAGAGGUGAAAUCCCCGGGCUCAACCUGGGAACUGCCUUUGUGACUGCAAGGCUUGAGUGCGGCAGAGGGGGAUGGAAUUCCGCGUGUAGCAGUGAAAUGCGUAGAUAUGCGGAGGAACACCGAUGGCGAAGGCAAUCCCCUGGGCCUGCACUGGCGCUCAUGCACGAAAGCGUGGGGAGCAAACAGGAUUAGAUACCCCUGUAGUCCCUGUCUCUUAUAC